AGUCCGUUUUAAAAACGAAUGAUUUAUACUAUCCACACUUUUGUUAUGAAAAUAUAAUAUAGAGAAAUUGCAGUAACGAAUGUACCUUUAAUAAGGAAAACGACAUUCAAUAUUUCACAUAAUGCAUUAAAUUUAUUUAGUGAAUUCGAACCGUUUCCAUUCUUCGGACGGUGAUUGCUGUUUGCGCGUCGUACGUCCCACCGCCGUCGCCGUGAAAAAUUAUCGAUCGGACGUAAGGUACUUG